GAUGCAGCAACGCCGCGUGAACGAUGAAGGUCUUCGGAUCGUAAAGUUCUGUUGCAGGGGAAGAUAAUGACGGUACCCUGUGAGGAAGCCCCGGCUAACUACGUGCCAGCAGCCGCGGUAAUACGUAGGGGGCUAGCGUUAUCCGGAUUUACUGGGCGUAAAGGGUGCGUAGGUGGUCCUUCAAGUCGGUGGUUAAAGGCUACGGCUCAACCGUAGUAAGCCGCCGAAACUGGAGGACUUGAGUGCAGGAGAGGAAAGUGGAAUUCCCAGUGUAGCGGUGAAAUGCGUAGAUAUUGGGAGGAACACAGUAGCGAAGGCGGCUUUCUGGACUGCAACUGACACUGAGGCACGAAAGCGUGGGUAGCAAACAGGAAUAGAUACCCUGGUAGUCCACGCUGUAAACGAUGAGUACUAGGUGUCGGGGGUUACCCCCCUCGGUGCCGCAGCUAACGCAUUAAGUACUCCGCCUGGGGAGUACGCACGCAAGUGUGAAACUCAAAGGAAUUGACGGGGACCCGCACAAGUAGCGGAGCAUGUGGUUUAAUUCGAAGCAAGCGAAGAACCUUACCUAGCUGACAUCCUCGGACAGUGU
rnacentral:rRNA from 1 species